rnacentral:rRNA from 1 species
UACAGAGGUCUCAAGCGUUUGUUCGGAUUCAUUGGGCGUAAAGGGUGCGUAGGUGGCGCCGUAAGUCAGGUGUGAAAUUUCGGAGCUUAACUCCGAAACUGCAUUUGAUACUGCGGUGCUUGAGGACUGGAGAGGAGACUGGAAUUUAACGGUGUAGCAGUGAAAUGCGUAGAGAUCGUAAGGAAGACCAGUGGCGAAGGCGGGUCUCUGGACGAGUUC